AGCGAACGCUGGCGGUAGGCCUAACACAUGCAAGUCGAACGGCAGCACAGUAAGAGCUUGCUCUUACGGGGGGCGAGAGGCGGACGGGUGAGGAAUACAUCGGAAUCUACUUUUUCGUGGGGGAUAACGUAGGGAAACUUACGCUAAUACCGCAUACGACCUACGGGUGAAAGCAGGGGAUCUUCGCACCUUGCGCGAAUGAAUGAGCCGAUGUCGGACUUGCUAGUUGGCGGGGUAAAGGCCCACCAAGUCGACGAUCGGUAGCUGGUCUGAGAGGACGGUCGGCCACACGGGAGCUGAGACACGGUCCAGACUCCUACGGUACGGAGCAGUGUGGAAUAUUGGACAAUGGGGGCGAACAUGCUCCAGCCAUACCGCGUGUGUGAAAACGGCCUUCGGUUUGUGAAGCCCUUUUGUUGGGAAAAAAAAGCAGCCGGUUAUGACGCCGCGGGUCUGACGGUACCCAAAGAAUAAGCACCGGCUAACUUCGUG
rnacentral:rRNA from 1 species